rnacentral:misc_RNA from 1 species
UUAAGUUCAGCGGGUAGUCCUACCUGAUUUGAGAUCAAACGUUCAAAAAGCUGUCCUCACCAAGGAGAGACAUCUGUGAGCUCCAGCGAACCCCCAUCACUGAAGGUCACAUGGCAGAAAACCACAAGCGUAGAUAGUUAUCACACCCGUGAUGCCACCAGACACUGGCAAGCUGAUCCGUUUGAGAGGAGCUGACACUU